AUAAUAUACAAGUUUCACUUUUUGAAUGUAAUUAGUGAAAUAAAUCAACUUUUUGAUGAUAUUCUAAUUAUAUGACCAGCACCUGUAUAAUAUUAUUAAAUAAAUAACAUUAUUGAUAAAUUAUCAGUAGCCUAUAUGAGACGGGAUAUAGUCGUUUAUUCAUUUGUAACAUUCAUUUGUAUGUUUGUGUAUGAACAAGCAGAAUCACAGAGUGGUGAUCCAUGGAUUUCAAACAGAUAGAGGAAUGAUAAGACAGGACACACCUACAUAUCCAACUCUGUUAAAGAACGCUUCACCUGGAAAGCUGUCUUUUGCAUACAUUCUAAUGAGUCAUAAACAUCUUAAAAGAUGUUUUCUGUAGCAAUAUCACUGGAAUGAAGGUUUAUGACUGGGCAAGUGCUUAAAGACCCGAUUUAUAUUAGAAAAGCUUUCCAGCGCCUAUGUCUAGGCAAACCUGCACAUCAUUAUUACGAGAAAGUUUCUCAUUAUUAUGAGAUACUAAGUCAUAAUUACGAGAAAGUUUUUCAUUUUUACGAGAAAGUUUCUCAUUAUUACGAGAAAGUUUCUUGUUAUUAUGAGAAACUAAGUCAUUAUUAUAAAAAGGUUUCUUAUUAUGAUGAGAUGCUAAGUCAUAAUGACGAGAAAGUUUCUCAUUAUGAUGAGAUGCUAAGUCAUAAUGACGAGAAAGUUUCUCAUUAUGAUGAGAUGCUAAGUCAUUAUUAUGAGAAAGUUUCUCAUUAUUAUGAGAUACUAAGUCAUAAUUACGAGAAAGUUUUUCAUUUUUACGAGAAAGUUUCUCAUUUUUACGAGAAAGUUUCUCAUUAUUACGAGAAAGUUUCUUGUUAUUAUGAGAAACUAAGUCAUUAUUAUAAAAAGGUUUCUCAUUAUGAUGAGAUGCCAAGUCAUUAUUACAAGAAAGUUUCUCAUUACUAUGACAUAGUAAGUCAUUAUUAUGAGAAAGUUUCUCAAUAUUAUGACUUAAAGAAUCAUAUUUAUUUUUACUUUACUGCGGCGGAAACGGGCUUCCAUAGGGAUUAGAUCCCAGAACCUCUGGCACGCUUAACAAAAGUUCUACCUCUAGCCCAUAAGGUCUUAUACAUUUUUGAAGUGGAUCUAUGUAUUUACUUACUAAUGUAAAUACUCUCAAGACUAACAGUAAACUGUAUUAUAGUAGAUGAGGAUAAAACUAUCACAUUAAAUACGAGUUGCACGUCAUAUUUUAAUGCAUUUAUUAUUGUACAUUUCUGUAAAAUGUGCAAUCUCAAACACCCCCCACUCCUCAAAUACCCUCCUUGGCUUGGAAUACAGACAGUGCUAAUGAACGACUUUUAUAGUCCUUUUAUGCCCUUUGCUGUGGUUUACCGCUGAAAUACGCUCUCACUUUCAUUGUAUGCAAAAGAGCCAAAACAUUUUGCCUAAUACUGUUAGCAAAAAAUGAUGGAUGACAAAAGGCAAAUGCACCAUGAAAGAGCUGUUCCCAGAUGUACCAGAGAAACAUUGAGAGAGGGAGGCUGUGCUUUUCAUUUCCUCUACAGGGAGUAUGAGUCACACUAACCUUUCUUCUGUCUUUCACACAGUCCAAUCAUUUAAUCAAAAUUAAUCUAUUUGGGAGUAUAAGGUUUUACCAUAAACAGAUGUGACUGCAAGCUUGUUUUUGUUUUCAGAUAAAAGUGAUCUGAAUCUGAUUUUCAUGACAUGAUUUAUAAUUCAUGAUCUCUGAUAGAGCAAAAAUGAUUCAGUAAAUUAUUCACAUGCAGUGUUUUGUUCGAAAGUUGUAUAUAUUAUAAAUGAUUGUCUUUUAUGCAACUGUAAAGAUUAAACAAAACAGCUGUUUUUUACUUUUACUCAUUACUUUGAAAAGCAGCAAGGCCAACAGGUCAUCUCUCUUUUGAGGUGACACUGGUGUCAAAAUCUGAAUAUUUUUCUCCCAAAACUUUCCUAAUACUGUGUCCAGCUCACAUCAGAUGAACUGAGGAAAUUUUUAUUGGAAAAGAUCCACUCAGACGGAAAACAUGCAAGAACUUUCCACUGCACUCCCUGGGGCGGAAGACGGGUCACUGACACUUGUGCAUGUGAUGUCAUUUCAUUAGGACAACAAAGACUGAUGGUUAUGAUGAAGGAUUUGGGAUAUAAUCAUGCAGAUCUAUGUAAAAGCACACAAUCGUGAAUUUCGCAAAACCCCCUUUGUCCCAGAGUGAACUUUAGCCCAUUCUCAAGGGGAUUAAUAGGAUGAAAAAUGUUUCAGGAGUGGAUGCUUGAAAGAUCUUAAUCUUUACAAUGACGCCAAGAGGCCUUACAAAAUCAAGCUCAUCUGCAAAGGGGUUCAGAACGCCUAUAUGUAUUAUAUGACAUUUCAAACUGUAUUAAUUAUGUGAUUAACAGCGAUUUAAUGAGUAUGUCUUAAUGAAAGUUAUUGUGUUACCCAGAAAA